GUAGGUGGCAAGCGUUGUCCGGAAUUAUUGGGCGUAAAGCGCGCGCAGGCGGUUCUUUAAGUCUGAUGUGAAAGCCCACGGCUCAACCGUGGAGGGUCAUUGGAAACUGGAGAACUUGAGUACAGAAGAGGAAAGCGGAAUUCCACGCGUAGCGGUGAAAUGCGUAGAGAUGUGGAGGAACACCAGUGGCGAAGGCGGCUUUCUGGUCUGUAACUGACGCUGAGGCGCGAAAGCGUGGGGAGCAAACAGGAUUAGAUACCCUGGUAGUCCACGCCGUAAACGAUGAGUGCUAAGUGUAGGGGGUUUUCCGCCCCCCUUAGUGCUGCAGCUAACGCAUUAAGCACUCCGCCUGGGAGUACGGCCGCAAGGCUG
rnacentral:rRNA from 1 species